ensembl:lncRNA
CUUUCCUUUAAACAGUGAUGCUUUUUAGUUGCUGCCAAGUGCUUUUCCUGUGCCCCGCCCCUGUUCGCCCACAGCGCAUGUUCUUACAAUAGCUUACACAGUGCAAGAGUGCAAAUCAUUAUCAAAGUUGUCAAAAACACAGAGUUUGCUCCAGGCGAUCAUACGCCGCCCCCAUUCCCUUUCCCUGACUGUCUUCCAAAUGAACUCAUGCCAAACACAAAAUACUGGAGGGAUUUAAUCCAACCCAAGCAAGUAAGCUAUGUGCACCUGUCUAAUAACUAACACGCAUUUCCAAAUAGGUCAGACUGCCAGUAAGCCUAUAUGACAUAGUAAGCAAAGUCAAUUUUAACCAAAGCACCAAAUAGGUCGUGUCUGUCUUUGUACGGUCCCAAAGCUGUAAAUAUAUUAUGGGUUCGAGAGUGCAUGCUGGUUAAGAGAAAGCAUCAAAACAAUCAUUAAUACAUUAACUAACCAGCACGUACUCAAAAAAGCACUUAAGGUGGCCGUUAUUCAUGCAUGAAUUCAUCAGACUCACAAUAUAAGACUAGCUUUUUCAUGAUUAGUACAUGCCUUAACUCAUCAUUCGUUCAUAUUUAAGUAAGUAUUAAUUCAGGUAUUAGUGUAGGAUUAUUCAUGUACUGUUAUUGUAACGUAUUGAAGCAAACAACAAAGAAAACAUGGGUAAAAAUAAAUAAAAAAACGUUAAGUCCACCAUCAAGCGCUUAUCACUCAUUCAGUCAAAUUAUUAGUCAAAAAUAUUAUUCAAUCAUUUUAAAAUGUUUCCUUCUUUAUUUAAAUUGGUGUCAUGUGUGGUUUGGUCAAAUUUAUGCCACACUGUACGGUUGAAUUCUCAAUGCUGAUUGGUCAGAAGGUGUGAAUUUUCCAUUGCAGCAGCUCUGACACUAGUGCUGGCUGCAAUGUGCUCGUUCUAAUACGCAGUUUUUGGAAGGAGUCUCCAGUGUCGGCGCUUUGUAACAGGUAAAGCUGUUAAAUGUACAGUUUUCUGACACGGAAGAUUCUUCAGGGAAGAUGCUGUUCCGGUUUCUUGGUAAUAUAAGUAUGGAAG